rnacentral:rRNA from 1 species
GAUGAACGCUGGCGGCGUGCUUAACACAUGCAAGUCGAACGAAGCAUGUAAGUGGAACCCUUCGGGGUGAAGCUUGCAUGACUUAGUGGCGGACGGGUGAGUAACGCGUGGGUAACCUGCCUCAUACAGGGGGAUAACAGUUGGAAACGACUGCUAAGACCGCAUAACCCGCUAGUGUCGCAUGACACGGACGGAAAAUAUUUAUAGGUAUGAGAUGGGCCCGCGUCUGAUAGCUAGUUGGUGGGGUAAAGGCCUACCAAGGCAACGAUCAGUCGCCGACUUGAGAGAGUGAUCGGCCACAUUGGGACUGAGACACGGCCCAAACUCCUACGGGAGGCAGCAGUGGGGAAUAUUGCACAAUGGGCGAAAGCCUGAUGCAGCGACGCCGCGUGAGUGAAGAAGUAUUUCGGUAUGUAAAGCUCUAUCAGCAGGGAAGAUAAUGACAGUACCUGACUAAGAAGCCCCGGCUAACUACGUGCCAGCAGCCGCCGUAACAC